UAUGUCGGUGUGAAUCGUGAGGCUCAACCUCACGGCUAUGCCCGAAACUGACAAGCUAGAGCAUGAGAGGGGUACCUGGAAUUCCUGGUGUAGGAGUGAAAUCCGUAGAUAUCAGGAGGAACACCAAUGGCGUAGGCAGGGUACUGGCUCAUUGCUGACGCUCAGGCACGAAAGCGUGGGGAGCGAACGGGAUUAGAUACCCCGGUAGUCCACGCCGUAAACGAUGAGUGCUA
rnacentral:rRNA from 1 species